rnacentral:misc_RNA from 1 species
UCCCCGUUACCGGGGCAGUCUAGCUAGAGAAAUUCAACUAACUAUAAGGGUUGCGCUCGUUGAUGGACUUAACCAAACAUCUCACGACACGAGCUGACGACGGCCAUGCAACACCUGUCACUAGGUUCCCGAAGGCACUCUUUCCUUUCGGAUAGAUUCCUAGGAUGUCAAACCUUGGUAAGGUUCUUCGCUUACCAUCGAAUUAAACAACACGCUCCACCGCUUGUGCGGGUCCCCGUCAAUUCCUUUAUGUUUUAAGCUUGCGCUCGUACUCCACAGGCGGGACGCUUAACGCGUUAGCUUCGCUACUAGAAGGGUCGAUACUUCUAACAGCUAGCGUCCAUAGUUUACAGCGUGGACUAC